rnacentral:rRNA from 1 species
UACGUAGGGAGCAAGCGUUGUCCGGAAUCAUUGGGCGUAAAGCGCGCGUAGGUGGCUUCGUAAGUCCGUUGUGAAAGUCAAAGGCUCAACCUUUGAAUGCCGAUGGAUACUGCGGAGCUAGAGUACGGAAGAGGUGAGUGGAAUUCCUAGUGUAGAGGUGAAAUUCGUAGAUAUUAGGAAGAACACCAGUGGCGAAGGCGGCUCACUGGUCCGGUACUGACGCUGAGGUGCGAAAGCGUGGGGAGCAAACAGG